rnacentral:rRNA from 1 species
UACGGAGGGUGCGAGCGUUGUCCGGAAUCACUGGGCGUAAAGGGCGCGCAGGCGGCUGCUCAAGUCAGGCGUGAAAGGCCUGGGCUCAACCCGGGAAUUGCGCUUGAGACUGGGCUGGCUUGAGUGCGGGAGAGGAUGGUGGAAUUCCCAGUGUAGAGGUGAAAUUCGUAGAUAUUGGGAAGAACACCGGUGGCGAAGGCGGCCAUCUGGACCGCAACUGACGCUGAGGCGCGAAAGCGUGGGGAGCAAACAGG